CGGACACACCUCCAGGUGUGGGCGCAGCAACGCCCACUGAACCUGCAACAACAACAGCAGCAGCAACUAACAAUAACAAUCAACUGCAACGCAUUCUGAUUGUUGUCAAUAAGAUCGACGUGUUGUCCACUAACCAACCAACUAACAAUCAUUUGCAUGCCAAACCAUCAGAAACAGCAACAGCCCCAGCAAUUAAGCCAAUUUCUACAAAAUUGACCAAGUGACCAAGCUAAGUGGGGGGGAAAAUGUAAAUGCUGGAACAGCUGCUUAAUCUGCUUCAUAGAAUCCAAUGCCAAGACGACCUUUUCAUUGACUCCUUCUAGUACUCGUAUUCUUAUCAAUUCCGAAUGAUGUCACCUCCCGUUUGACCAAAUACUCGUAAUGAAAGCGAAAUUGAAAAUCUGAAUGAUUUACUGAGAACUAAGAGAGGAAGGGGCCCUUUCAUUAGGUUCCCAAUGUUUUGGUUCAUGGGAAGCAUCGCCAAGUGUCAAACAGUUGGAAGUUCAAAGUGUGGCCAAGAACUGGAAUGAGAAAACCGUUUGUAUUAUGCUUUACCUUAUUGCACAUCAGAAAACAACACAUUUAUGGGCCUGAUGUCUUAAGUGGCUUAUAGAGCUUGCCCAACAGCGGACCGACAACAGCUGCAACGAAAAGACCCAUGAAAGACUAUGGAAAAUGCUUGGAACCGACUAGACGCGGACUAGUGGAUGGAAUGGAUGUGGAUAGGGAAUCGUUUGAUUAUGAAAGAAGGAACAGACACAUAUAUAGUCUAUUGAAAAUUGCAUUCAUCACUCAGUUGUAGGGCUUUCAACUUUUGAUCUAGUAAACUCUUGACCAUCCGAAAUCACUUGGCCGAAUCAUUGCCAUCCAUUCUCUAUUCUCUCAGGCUCCCAUUGGACAGGGAUGCUGUUAUUAUUAUAGAUCUCAAGUGGGAAGAGUGGAUUCAUAUAAUGCAGCAGUGGAUUUGAUUCUGUUGCAUUCUGCGGGCGUCAUUAGCACCGACACGGGCCAGAGCAGUCGUGUGCAACGGCUCUUUGCUGGUUUGGGAAAAGAAU